rnacentral:tRNA from 1 species
CAAUAGCUCAGUCGGUAGAGCGCUACACUGGUAAUGUAGAGGUCCCGGGUUCGAUUCCCGGUUGA